GGAGAGGUGCCCGAGUGGUUAAAGGGGGCAGACUGUAAAUCUGCUGGCGUUGCCUACGGUGGUUCAAAUCCACUCCUCUCCACCA
rnacentral:tRNA from 1 species